UACGUAGGGGGCAAGCGUUGUCCGGAAUCAUUGGGCGUAAAGAGCGUGUAGGCGGCCAGAUAAGUCCGCUGUGAAAUCUCGAGGCUCAACUUCGAGCUGUCGGUGGAAACUGUCUGGCUAGAGUCCGGAAGAGGAGAAUGGAAUUCCUGGUGUAGCGGUGAAAUGCGCAGAUAUCAGGAAGAACGCCCGUGGCGAAGGCGGCUCUCUGGGACGGUACUGACGCUGAGACGCGAAAGCGUGGGGAGCGAACAGG
rnacentral:rRNA from 1 species